UUUCAUUGUUUAAGUGUAAAUCUCUCGAGUAGACGCUGUCUCUUUAGAUGCAAGGGCAAAAUAGCACUUUAUGGACUUACACAGAGGACAUCAUGUUUAAUACGGUUCCGGAAAAAUCCAGUCAGAAGUUGUUCACGGAGUUUUCACAAUAACUGCUUCUCAUGAACUGAAGCUGCGCGACGUCUCCUCCUGAAAGUUGGAUUACCGUGCACUUCUGGAUCACAGGCUAUUCGCAGCUGGACACAUCCUUCUACACUGUAUGCAAACAUGCAACAUCAUUACACACAGUACAAGGAGUCAGACUGGCAUAUGAGGAGCAAAGGAACCCAGGCAGUAGCAUCGUUUCACAAUGUUUACAUCACCAUCAUCAGUGGAUGCCUUUGCCGUCCGUAGCCUGAGAUUUCAGAUUUGCAGCAAAAAAUGUGACUUUCCCAUUUAUUGGAAUGCUGUGCAGCCAUCCAUUACAAUGUCACCAAGCCGUAACAAAAGCAGGAGAGGGAAAGUACAAGGCUAUGUUCCCAAAACACACAAGUGACAUACUUUAUGUGGAUGAUGUGAUCAGGCUUGUGUUUGCUGAGGUAUUUGAAGAUAAGCUGAAGGAAACCCCGAUUCCAAUGGACCUGGCAUCACAGUUUGAGAGACCUUCAAAGGAGGACGUGAUUACAUGCCAUCUUCAGUGCAGGGGUCGUCGGAAGCCAACAUUCCGAUCAGGAAGCUCCAAGCAUAUCUGGAGAACAACACACGACAGGAUGAUAACCCUAAAGUGUCGUCUUAGAUAGCACCAGCUGACAAAGCUUUGAUAUGCCAUUUAUCUGAAUAGAUAGCUGUAAGAAGUGAAUUGAACAAUUUUUGAAAGAAGAGCACAAUAUGGUUACUAAAGUAUGUUUAUUUGUAUAUUGUUUAACAUUUAAAUAUAUAUUUGUAAUAAAUAAACUUUUGACUGACUACUA